rnacentral:rRNA from 1 species
ACGGAGGGUGCAAGCGUUGUUCGGAAUUACUGGGCGUAAAGCGCGCGUAGGCGGCUAUGUAAGUCAGAUGUGAAAGCCCGCGGCUCAACCGUGGAAGUGCAUUUGAAACUGUAUAGCUUGAGUACUGGAGGGGGUAGUGGAAUUCCCGGUGUAGAGGUGAAAUUCGUAGAUAUCGGGAGGAAUACCGGUGGCGAAGGCGACUACCUGGCCAGAUACUGACGCUGAGGUGCGAAAGCGUGGGGAGCAAACAGG